rnacentral:rRNA from 1 species
AGUGAACGCUGGCGGUAGUCCUAACACAUGCAAGUCGAACGGCAGCACAGUAGGAGCUUGCUCUUACGGGUGGCGAGUGGCGGACGGGUGAGGAAUACAUCGGAAUCUACUUUUUCGUGGGGGAUAACGUAGGGAAACUUACGCUAAUACCGCAUACGACCUACGGGUGAAAGCAGGGGAUCUUCGGACCUUGCGCGAUUGAAUGAGCCGAUGUCGGAUUAGCUAGUUGGCGGGGUAAAGGCCCACCAAGGCGACGAUCCGUAGCUGGUCUGAGAGGAUGAUCAGCCACACUGGAACUGAGACACGGUCCAGACUCCUACGGGAGGCAGCAGUGGGGAAUAUUGGACAAUGGGCGCAAGCCUGAUCCGGCCAUACCGCGUGGGUGAAGAAGGCCUUCGGGUUGUAAAGCCCUUUUGUUGGGAAAGAAAAGCAGCAGGUUAAUACCCCGCUGUUCUGACGGUACCCAAAGAAUAAGCACCGGCUAACUUCGUG